GACGAACCUUGCAAACGUUAUUCGGAAUCACUGGGCUUAAAGGGUGCGUAGGCUGUGCAGUAAGUUGGGUGUGAAAUACCUCGGCUUAACCGAGGAAUUGCGCCCAAAACUACUGUGCUCGAGGAAGAUAGAGGUGAGCGGAACUUAGGGUGGAGCGGUGAAAUGCGUUGAUAUCCUAAGGAACACCGGUGGCGAAAGCGGCUCACUGGAUCUUAUCUGACGCUGAGGCACGAAAGCCAGGGUAGCAAACGGG
rnacentral:rRNA from 1 species